rnacentral:lncRNA from 1 species
GGAGCCGCCUUGACGCGGGACGCGGCCGCCCUGCUGGAGCCGCCUUGACGCGGGAAGGAGAUGGGACGCGGCCGCCUCUGCUGGUGGUGGGAACGCGGCGCGGGAGGGCCUCGAUCUGAAGCCGCCGUGACGCGGGAACGAGGCGAGCAGGACGAGGGCCGGUGCGACGAGGUGCGGGACGAGACGAAUUUGGGAAAGAUUAGAUCGGGAAGAGCACGAGUUGCGCGUGCAAAAAGAACCUAGGCUCU